rnacentral:ncRNA from 1 species
UUAAACACAACCCGUCCAGGCAUCCCGGAACCCGGUGCAAAUCCGGGGCGGUCCCGCCGCUGUAAUCGGGGACGGGGGGAGCAGGUAAGCCAGGCCACUGCCGGGGUUCACCCCGGUGGGAAGGCCGCCUCCCUCCGGCUGAGCCGAGAGCCAGAAGACCUGCCGGGCGGAUAGUAAGGCU